rnacentral:rRNA from 1 species
UACAGAGGUGGCAAGCGUUGUUCGGAAUUACUGGGCGUAAAGGGCGCGUAGGCGGUCCGAUAAGUCCUGUGUGAAAUCCCUCGGCUCAACUGAGGAACUGCCUUUGAAACUGUCUGGCUUGAGGCCGGGAGGGGGUAGCGGAAUUCCAGGUGUAGCGGUGAAAUGCGUAGAUAUCUGGAGGAACACCGGUGGCGAAGGCGGCAUCCUGGACCAAUUCUGACGCUGAGGAGCGAAAGCCAGGGGAGCAAACGGG